GACACACCUGGAAUAACUCCUAGAAACCUCUGAUCACAAAUGGAAUGGAUCAUAAUUGAUUUGGAAUGAAAUUAGAAAAUUCUGGAAAAUUGACCUUUAGCGACGAAAAAUCUGAUGAACACCGUCGCUGAAAACCCUUUAGCAACGAAAAAUCUGAUGAACACCGUCGCUAAAAACCUUUUGUGACGAAAAAGCUUCAUAUUUCUGGGUAGAUAGCAGCUAGUCUUUUUUGGGUUUUAGGCCACUUUUUUAGCUUCAAAUCUCCCUAAAACGUCAUGUAAAACACUUGAG
rnacentral:lncRNA from 1 species